rnacentral:rRNA from 1 species
GUGGGGAAUUUUGGACAAUGGGCGCAAGCCUGAUCCAGCAAUGCCGCGUGUGUGAAGAAGGCCUUCGGGUUGUAAAGCACUUUUGUCCGGAAAGAAAUCUCCUGGGUUAAUACCUCGGGGGGAUGACGGUACCGGAAGAAUAAGCACCGGCUAACUACGUGCCAGCAGCCGCGGUAAUACGUAGGGUGCGAGCGUUAAUCGGAAUUACUGGGCGUAAAGCGUGCGCAGGCGGCUAUGCAAGACAGAUGUGAAAUCCCCGGGCUCAACCUGGGAACUGCAUUUGUGACUGCAUGGCUAGAGUGCGUCAGAGGGAGGUGGAAUUCCGCGUGUAGCAGUGAAAUGCGUAGAGAUGCGGAGGAACACCGAUGGCGAAGGCAGCCUCCUGGGAUGACACUGACGCUCAUGCACGAAAGCGUGGGGAGCAAACAGGAUUAGAUACCCUAGUAGUCC